UCUUUUGAACCUAGCGGCGAAUGGGUGAGUAACACGUGCUUAAUCUACCCUUUAGAUUGGAAUACCCAAUGGAAACAUUGGCUAAUGCCGGAUACGCAUGGAAUCGCAUGAUUCCGUUGUGAAAGGAGCCUUUAAAGCUCCGCUAGAGGAUGAGGGUGCGGAACAUUAGUUAGUUGGUAGGGUAAUGGCCUACCAAGACUAUGAUGUUUAGCCGGGUCGAGAGACUGAACGGCCACAUUGGGACUGAGAUACGGCCCAAACUCCUACGGGAGGCAGCAGUAGGGAAUAUUCCACAAUGAGCGAAAGCUUGAUGGAGCGACACAGCGUGCACGAUGAAGGUCUUCGGAUUGUAAAGUGCUGUUAUAGGGAAAGAACACCUGGUUGAGGAAAUGCUUCCAGGCUGACGGUACCCUGUCAGAAAGCGAUGGCUAACUAUGUGCCAGCAGCCGCGGUAAUACAUAGGUCGCAAGCGUUAUCCGGAAUUAUUGGGCGUAAAGCGUUCGUAGGCUGUUUAUUAAGUCUGGAGUCAAAUCCCAGGGCUCAACCCUGGCUCGCUUUGGAUACUGGUAAACUAGAGUUAGAUAGAGGUAAGCGGAAUUCCAUGUGAAGCGGUGAAAUGCGUAGAUAUAUGGAAGAACACCAAAGGCGAAGGCAGCUUACUGGGUCUAUACUGACGCUGAGGGACGAAAGCGUGGGGAGCAAACAGGAUUAGAUACCCUGGUAGUCCACGCCGUAAACGAUGAUCAUUAGUCGGUGGAGAGUUCACUGACGCAGCUAACGCAUUAAAUGAUCCGCCUGAGUAGUAUGCUCGCAAGAGUGAAACUUAAAGGAAUUGACGGGGACCCGCACAAGCGGUGGAGCAUGUGGUUUAAUUUGAAGAUACGCGGAGAACCUUACCCACUCUUGACAUCCUUCGCAAUGCUAUAGAGAUAUAGCGGAGGUUAACGGAGUGACAGAUGGUGCAUGGUUGUCGUCAGCUCGUGUCGUGAGAUGUUUGGUCAAGUCCUGCAACGAGCGCAACCCCUAUCUUUAGUUACUAACGAGUCAUGUCGAGGACUCUAGAGAUACUGCCUGGGUAACUGGGAGGAAGGUGGGGAUGACGUCAAAUCAUCAUGCCUCUUACGAGUGGGGCAACACACGUGCUACAAUGGNCGGUACAAAGAGAAGCAAUAUGGCGACAUGGAGCAAAUCUCAAAAAGCCGAUCUCAGUUCGGAUUGGAGUCUGCAAUUCGACUCCAUGAAGUCGGAAUCGCUAGUAAUCGCAGAUCAGCUACGCUGCGGUGAAUACGUUCUCGGGUCUUGUACACACCGCCCGUCACACCAUGGGAGCUGGUAAUACCCAAAGUCGGUUAGCUAACCU
rnacentral:rRNA from 2 species